GUGCCAGCAGCCGCGGUAAUACGAACUGUGCAAACGUUAUUCGGAAUCACUGGGCUUAAAGGGUGCGUAGGCGGCUGUCUAAGCAGGGUGUGAAAGCCCCCGGCUCAACCGGGGAAUUGCGUUCUGAACUGGACGGCUGGAGUGGGAUAGGGGUGUGUGGAACUUCCGGUGGAGCGGUGAAAUGUGUUGAUAUCGGAAGGAACGCCGGUGGCGAAAGCGACACACUGGGUCUCAACUGACGCUGAGGCACGAAAGCCAGGGGAGCGAACGGGAUUAGAUACCCCGGUAGUCC
rnacentral:rRNA from 1 species